CGUGUCUCACUAUAGUGCCAACGAAGUUUUAAAAAGUUUCGUAUACUGUACAGAAAACAUUUGUAAGAAAAUUCUGUGGUAAGUGUUCAAAUACUUUGGUGAACCACCGUAGCCGAAGUAUACGAUUCAACGGUGCCGAUUACGACGCCUGCAUAUCCGUGCGAGAGUACAGAGCAAUUUUUCUCACGUGCUCGGUCGUGUAAUACGAAUUCCCAGGUUGGAUAAUGAGAGCUUCUUACGUACUUUGUGCCUUAAGAAGGGACUUCCUACGUAUAUCGAACGAAAGCGGUGCUAUAUAUUUGACCUUCGCACGGUAAUUGCAUCAACAGCGGGAAAGAAAUUGGAUUUCGGAGAAACGAAAGUGGAUCUGCUUCGGCGAUGAUUUUUAGUCGUGUUACGCUUUACGAUGCAAGAAUUUUCGACACUCAUUUGUUGCACCUUACUUGACACCUUAAUAGAAAUGUAAAUUAUUGUUCGAACUGAUUUCAGCAUCUUUGAGUUAGGGA
rnacentral:misc_RNA from 1 species